AUCAGCUAGCAUCUAAGUACUGCUUGUAAUUUCUACAUCCAAUGAAGUAAUUCAUUCUAGCUUGGAGUUUGUACUUGAUAAAAGUCCAACCUUGUCUACAGUACACCCGGGACCUUUGGUAUAACAUCAUGAUGGGAGGGUGCAGGCUUGUGCACACCCAUCGGAGUGGGGGAGGGGCAGAGGGCAAGGAAGAGAGAGAAUCCCAAGCAGGCUCCAAACUCAGUGUGAAGCCCAGCUCAGGGCUCCAUCUCCCAAUUCUGAGAUUACAACCAGAGCCAAAACGAAGAGUUGGACACUCAACUACCUGCGCCACCAGGAGCCCCCAUUGUAAUCCUGUUUGAAUGUACAGUUCAGUGGCAUUAAGUACAUUACAUUGUUGUAUUGUUGUACAAUCAUCACCCCCAUCCAUCUCCAAAACUUUGCCAUUGUCCCAAACCGAAACUCUGUACCCAUUAAACAAAGCUUCUCCAUUCCCCCA